AACGAACGUUAGCGGCGCGCCUAACACAUGCAAGUCGCACGAGAAAGGGCUUCGGCCCCGGUAAAGUGGCGCACGGGUGAGUAACACGUGGGUAAACUGCCCUCGAGCGGGGGAUAACAUUCAGAAAGGAGUGCUAAUACCGCAUAAGACCACGACCUCGAAAGAGGUUGAGGUAAAAGCUGGCCUCUAUACAUAAGCCAGCACUUGAGGAUGUGCCCGCGGCGCAUCAGGUAGUUGGUGAGGUAAUGGCUCACCAAGCCGAAGACGCGUAGCUGGUCUGAGAGGAUGAUCAGCCACACUGGAACUGAGACACGGUCCAGACUCCUACGGGAGGCAGCAGUGGGGAAUCUUGCGCAAUGGGCGAAAGCCUGACGCAGCGACGCCGCGUGAGUGAUGAAGGCCUUCGGGUUGUAAAGCUCUGUGGGGCGAGACGAAUAAGUGCAGCCUAAUACGUUGCAUGAUGACGGUAUCGCCUUAGCAAGCACCGGCUAACUCUGUGCCAGCAGCCGCCGCAGUAA
rnacentral:rRNA from 1 species